AGGUGAUCCAACCGCAGGUUCCCCUACGGUUACCUUGUUACGACUUCACCCCAGUCAUGAAUCACAAAGUGGUAAGCGCCCUCCCGAAGGUUAAGCUACCUACUUCUUUUGCAACCCACUCCCAUGGUGUGACGGGCGGUGUGUACAAGGCCCGGGAACGUAUUCACCGUGGCAUUCUGAUCCACGAUUACUAGCGAUUCCGACUUCAUGGAGUCGAGUUGCAGACUCCAAUCCGGACUACGACGCACUUUAUGAGGUCCGCUUGCUCUCGCGAGGUCGCUUCUCUUUGUAUGCGCCAUUGUAGCACGUGUGUAGCCCUGGUCGUAAGGGCCAUGAUGACUUGACGUCAUCCCCACCUUCCUCCAGUUUAUCACUGGCAGUCUCCUUUGAGUUCCCGGCCGGACCGCUGGCAACAAAGGAUAAGGGUUGCGCUCGUUGCGGGACUUAACCCAACAUUUCACAACACGAGCUGACGACAGCCAUGCAGCACCUGUCUCACGGUUCCCGAAGGCACAUUCUCAUCUCUGAAAACUUCCGUGGAUGUCAAGACCAGGUAAGGUUCUUCGCGUUGCAUCGAAUUAAACCACAUGCUCCACCGCUUGUGCGGGCCCCCGUCAAUUCAUUUGAGUUUUAACCUUGCGGCCGUACUCCCCAGGCGGUCGACUUAACGCGUUAGCUCCGGAAGCCACACCUCAAGGGCACAACCUCCAAGUCGACAUCGUUUACAGCGUGGACUACCAGGGUAUCUAAUCCUGUUUGCUCCCCACGCUUUCGCACCUGAGCGUCAGUCUUCGUCCAGGGGGCCGCCUUCGCCACCGGUAUUCCUCCAGAUCUCUACGCAUUUCACCGCUACACCUGGAAUUCUACCCUCCUCUACGAGACUCAAGCUUGCCAGUAUCAGAUGCAGUUCCCAGGUUGAGCCCGGGGAUUUCACAUCUGACUUAACAAACCGCCUGCGUGCGCUUUACGCCCAGUAAUUCCGAUUAACGCUUGCACCCUCCGUAUUACCGCGGCUGCUGGCACGGAGUUAGCCGGUGCUUCUUCUGCGGGUAACGUCAAUGAGCAAAGGUAUUAACUUUACUCCCUUCCUCCCCGCUGAAAGUACUUUACAACCCGAAGGCCUUCUUCAUACACGCGGCAUGGCUGCAUCAGGCUUGCGCCCAUUGUGCAAUAUUCCCCACUGCUGCCUCCCGUAGGAGUCUGGACCGUGUCUCAGUUCCAGUGUGGCUGGUCAUCCUCUCAGACCAGCUAGGGAUCGUCGCCUAGGUGAGCCGUUACCCCACCUACUAGCUAAUCCCAUCUGGGCACAUCCGAUGGCAAGAGGCCAGAAGGUCCCCCUCUUUGGUCUUGCGACGUUAUGCGGUAUUAGCUACCGUUUCCAGUAGUUAUCCCCCUCCAUCAGGCAGUUUCCCAGACAUUACUCACCCGUCCGCCACUCGUCAGCGAAACAGCAAGCUGUUUCCUGUUACCGUUCGACUUGCAUGUGUUAGGCCUGCCGCCAGCGUUCAAUCUGAGCCAUGAUCAAACUCU
rnacentral:rRNA from 1 species